CCCUUAGAUGUUCUGGGCCGCACGCGCGCUACACUGACAGAGCCAACGAGUUCUUCACCUUGGCCGGAAGGUCUGGGUAAUCUUGUUAAACUCUGUCGUGCUGGGGAUAGAGCAUUGCAAUUAUUGCUCUUCAACGAGGAAUGCCUAGUAAGCGCGUGUCAUCAGCACGCGUUGAUUACGUCCCUGCCCUUUGUACACACCGCCCGUCGCUACUACCGAUUGAAUGGCUCAGUGAGGCCUUCGGGCUGGCUCAGGGAGGUUGGCAACGACCACCCCGAGCCGGAAAGUUCGUCAAACUCGGUCAUUUAGAGGAAGUAAAAGUCGUAACA
rnacentral:rRNA from 1 species